rnacentral:rRNA from 1 species
UGGAUGGAGGGUUUGAUCCUGGCUCAGGGUGAACGCUGGCGGCGUGCUUGACACAUGCAAGUCGAACGGUAUGUGGCAACACAUAGAGUGGCGAACGGGUGAGUAACACGUGGGAACGUACCUACGCAGGGGGAUAACUGACCGAAAGGACAGCUAAUACCG